GGUGGGGUAGCUCAGUGGUAAAGUGCUCAGCUAGCAUAGAGAGGCCCUGGGUUUGAUCCUCAGCACCACAU
rnacentral:tRNA from 1 species